GACGGCAGGUGCUUUAGAGGCCAAUGUUACGACAGGCUAAAGUACGAGUCUCUGGCAAGAAGCCAAUUGCCCGUUAUCCUGGGCAGGGACUUCAUCACCCGGCAGAAAUUGGUACUGGACCUGCCCAAUGGAGGAUACGUUUACCAAGGAUCGUUAGGAUUUUUUCCUUUCGCCGUGACAGAGGACAGCAGUUCAGCUAAGCAAGCUGCAGCGACAUCCGUCGAAUCUUCCUUGCUCCCGACUGUCUUGGCGUCAUUCCAUGGUCCUGAGGAUGAGCUGUGUCAGCUUGAACAAGUACUACGGCAGUUUAACAGUACCGCCACAGAGAACCCCGGGGUGAACACGGCAGUACCAUGUCCAGCAGCACACGAUUACCUGUUUGUAAGUAUUGGCUUACUACACUUUUCUCAGAUCAAGCAUCAUUCUGUCGAAUAAGCAUUCAGCUGAAGGACACGUAACAGAGUACACAGAACACACACAGAACACCUAGAUGAUUAUCAGGCUCUCUUGGAAGCACAGAAUUUUGGUAUUGUAAUUCUGAAAAAAAUUAAAAUUGCACAGAAAGAAAUAUAAAUUAGAAAUGUAAUCAAUCAAUCAAUCAAUCAAUCAAUCAAGAAAUAAAUAGAAAUAUAAUAUCAGUUAUAUACUCUCGAACAAGGGAAGUUGAAGUGCCAAAGCAUAUGGUGGUCUCCAUGAGAUGCAGGCUCUAUUGGAAAAUUCCUUGUGUAAGUAGUAACCAGUGACCGCCAGCUGACCACAACACACAGGGGUGUAGACACCAUCAAAUUAGCAAUUACUACUAAUUAGGACCCCCACAGUAAUCAUCACCCUCAAGGGAGACACCUCACUAAUUGGGGAGCACGUAACUCGUGUCCAGACCACUCUGUGUGUCAUGGGCAGCUAGUAGUCAGUGCUUACUAGUUACACAAGAGUGAACCAAGACACGACCACAAACCAAGACAACCAACCAAGACAACCAACCAAGAUGACAACCACAACAUGCUAGACACUCCUGUCCACAGCCAGAUCUCAACUGACGAAGCACAGUGACUGAUCAUACAUCUCCUACAUACACUCCCCAAGUGUCAGCAUCUUCUUUAUGCAACGAUAAGCAACAAUUUUUUAAAUGCUGGAGAUGUAAAGCAAGUUGCAAAAAUUGACAUUCCUUCUGGGACACAGUCAAAACUGGGAGAAGUUUCACCCUUUUGCACUUUAGCAUUUUUUUGAAUAUAAGAAAUCGCAAUACGACUUCACCUUACCCGAACAUUUUACUUUGAACUGUGGGGAGCGCUGAUAACCGCGCAACUUCCGCGCGAUAGCGCAAGAGAUGAAAGAGCAAGCGCUCGGGGAAAGAGUGAUUCGUGCGGCAGGCACGCUGGCAGACGGUCACAGAGGCGUGGAGCGACGAAGCGGGCAGACUGCAAGCAGCUCCGAUGUAAGACAAUAAACCUUGUUUCUCUUGUUCAACUGCUGUGUUCGUCUUCUUCGGGGUUGCGACGGGUCGAUUGCGGAACCACCCCGGGUUUGUGGGCCGCGGUUCGCACAAAAUUGGCGCCCAACAGUGGUGUUUUCGACUCGCCGUACCGUUUUCCUCGGAGGGCACAGCAUAGUUGCAGAUAGUGUGCAUUUUUGUUUUGUUUGUUUUUUGGUUCUGCCGCCGUCUGCGUUGCAGCGCAGGUUCUUCGACCGGAGAUGCCUCCCAGGAAGAAGCACGACCCAGACAAUGACGAGGACGAGCCUACGCCAGUGGCUGAGGACUUGCUUCGACAGAUGGCAUCCCUCUGUACGUUACUGACGCAGCAGCUUGGUAGAAGUACGCCCGCUGCCCAGCCGUCCCCGGACACGCCGCUACGCCUGAAUCUGACGGUACCGACAUUUUCGGGCUACAGCGACGCCAAGUCCGUCGACGAUUUCCUUGCGGACCUGGAAGCUUACCAGACAG